rnacentral:tRNA from 1 species
GCCGAGGUGGUGAAAUUGGUAGACACGCAGCUUUAAGGAGGCUGUGGAGAAAUCUGUAGGGGUUCGAGUCCCCUCCUCGGCA